GUCACUCUCAGCUCCAGCACCAUGUCUACCUGCAUGCUUCCAUGCUCCCUGUCAUGAUGAUAAUGGACCGAACCUCUGAAACUGGUAUGUGCACAUGAAUGUAGGUGCCCUAGGAGACCAAGUAUGUCAGAUCCCUUGGAGCUGGAGUUACAGGCCGUUGCUAGCCACCUGAUGUGUAUGCUGGGAAUCUAGCUCAGGUCCCCUGCAGAAGCAGUCUUCCCUCUGAACCACUGAGCCAUCCCUCCGGCCCUAGGAUGAAGUAUCUCUAUGUGGGAACCUUAUAUGCCCUCCCAGCACUCAGGCAUUCUAAUCUGUUGACAUCUCAUGGCCACCCUUCAUUGGCUAGGCAUGAUCAGGACAUCUGAC
rnacentral:lncRNA from 1 species